CACCAGGCUGCUGCUGCUGCUGCUGCUGCUGUCUCCUCCCCAGCCCCAUGCAGGAGGCAGAGGCGAAGGCAGGACGAUGAAUUAUUUAAAGGCGGACGCACCACCCUGGGUACCUUAAUGCACCCUGGGGAACAAAUAGCCGCGAGCAAUUUUCCUACAGCCCUCGGACGAAGACGCCGGCCCUCCCUUCCUCCCUCACGCCCGGUCUCUGGGAAACCACGAAGGCUGCGAGCGUACACGGGAUCAUCCCCCUGGAUAGAAGUAAAUCCUACCGAAGUCAAGAGGAUUUAUUCCGAAGGAGGAAAAACGCUUUAGAUCGGGCAGUAUGAAUUGUGCCUCACGGAUGGGGAACAAAUCACACGAACUGGAAGAAAUGCCCUAGACCCUCCUGAGUCGGACCGAGGAACCUUGUCAACAAGCUUCUCCAAGCUCACGGUGUGAGCCCCUGAGUAGGACAAACAUUAGCCCCACCCCGAUUUCAUAACAGCUCCAAAAAGGCCUGCAUUCCUAUAAUAAUGGCACUGCACAACCCCUACCCUAGAGAAAACACUGAAUGGGUACUCACAUUUAAUUGCUCUGUAAGGGAUGGGGGGGAGGCUUCAACGAGUAUCCUGUUUCUUGCCAUUACUGUACAGACUACAUACAUGUCAAUCACCUGGUCAGUGAAGUUGCUUGCUUUCCCUUUUUCAACUAAAAGUUGCUUGUAUUCAUUGCUGUUAUUUCUUAGCCACAGCCUUUAGUGAAUACUGGAGUCCACCUGUGCAGCUAGGAUUCUGUUGGUACUUUAGCAUCAGAUUUAGCCAUGCUACCUGAAGUACUUCAAAAUAAGGAAUAUUUUUUAAGAAGUUAUUAAAUUCUGUACUACCCCAGCACCAUUGCCAUUACUUUCCUCAGGGAUGGGUUCCCCCCCCCCAAACUUCCUAGUUCCUAGUUUGUAAUUUAUACAGACAGCAGGUUAGAUUAAAUUUGCCUUUUUCACUUUUCUUUCUUU